AACGAACGCUGGCGGCAUGCCUAACACAUGCAAGUCGAACGAGACCUUCGGGUCUAGUGGCGCACGGGUGCGUAACGCGUGGGAACCUGCCCUUAGGUUCGGAAUAACUCCCCGAAAGGGGUGCUAAUACCGGAUAAUGUCUUCGGACCAAAGAUUUAUCGCCUUUGGAUGGGCCCGCGUUGGAUUAGCUAGUUGGUAGGGUAAAAGCCUACCAAGGCGACGAUCCAUAGCUGGUCUGAGAGGAUGAUCAGCCACACUGGGACUGAGACACGGCCCAGACUCCUCCGGGAGGAAGCAGUGGGGAAUAGUGGACAAUGGGCGAAAGCCUGAUCCAGCAAUGCCGCGUGAGUGAUGAAGGCCUUAGGGUUGUAAAGCUCUUUUACCCGGGAUGAUAAUGACAGUACCGGGAGAAUAAGCGCCGGCUAACUCCGUG
rnacentral:rRNA from 1 species